AUGGGAACGCGAAGAACCUUACCUACUCUUGACAUCCAGAGAACUUAGCAGAGAUGCUUUGGUGCCUUCGGGAACUCUGAGACAGGUGCUGCAUGGCUGUCGUCAGCUCGUGUUGUGAAAUGUUGGGUUAAGUCCCGCAACGAGCGCAACCCUUAUCCUUUGUUGCCAGCGGUCCGGCCGGGAACUCAAAGGAGACUGCCAGUGAUAAACUGGAGGAAGGUGGGGAUGACGUCAAGUCAUCAUGGCCCUUACGAGUAGGGCUACACACGUGCUACAAUGGCAUAUACAAAGAGAAGCGACCUCGCGAGAGCAAGCGGACCUCAUAAAGUAUGUCGUAGUCCGGAUUGGAGUCUGCAACUCGACUCCAUGAAGUCGGAAUCGCUAGUAAUCGUAGAUCAGAAUGCUACGGUGAAUACGUUCCCGGGUCUUGUACACACCG
rnacentral:rRNA from 1 species